GCGUUGGUGGUGCAACGGUUAGCAUACGCUACUAGAGAGAGUGAGGUCUGGGUCGAAUCCCGGCUGACGAG